rnacentral:rRNA from 13 species
GAGGCAAACCGGGGGAACUGAAACAUCUAAGUACCCUUAGGAAAAGAAAUCAACCGAGAUUCCCCUAGUAGCGGCGAGCGAACGGGGAGCAGCCCUUAAGCUGUUUAGAAUUUAGUGGAAUCCUUUGGGAAGAGGAGCGAUACAAGGUGAUAGCCCUGUACACGACGGAUUCUUUACAGUGAAAUCGAGUAGGUCGGGACACGUGUUAUCUUGACUGAAUAUGGGGGGACCAUCCUCCAAGGCUAAAUACUCCUAACUGACCGAUAGUGAACCAGUACCGUGAGGGAAAGGCGAAAAGAACCCCUGUGAGGGGAGUGAAAUAGAACCUGAAACCGUGUACGUACAAGCAGUAGGAGCACCUUCGUGGUGUGACUGCGUACCUUUUGUAUAAUGGGUCAGCGACUUAUAUUUAGUAGCAAGGUUAAGUGAAUAACGGAGCCGUAGCGAAAGCGAGUGUUAACUGCGCGUUUAGUUGCUAGGUAUAGACCCGAAACCCGGUGAUCUAGCCAUGAGCAGGUUGAAGGUUGAGUAACAUCAACUGGAGGACCGAACCCACUAACGUUGAAAAGUUAGGGGAUGACUUGUGGCUGGGGGUGAAAGGCCAAUCAAACCGGGAGAUAGCUGGUUCUCCCCGAAAUCUAUUUAGGUAGAGCCUCGGACGAAUUCCAUUGGGGGUAGAGCACUGUUAAGGCUAGGGGGUCAUCCCGACUUACCAACCCUUUGCAAACUCCGAAUACCAAUGAGAACUAUCCGGGAGACACACGGCGGGUGCUAACGUCCGUCGUGGAGAGGGAAACAACCCAGACCGCCAGCUAAGGUCCCAAAAUAUUGCUAAGUGGGAAACGAUGUGGGAAGGCAUAGACAGCUAGGAGGUUGGCUUAGAAGCAGCCAUCCUUUAAAGAUAGCGUAACAGCUCACUGGUCUAAAUAAGCUGUCCCGCGCCGAAGAUGUACCGGGGCUCAAGCCACACACCGAAACUGCGGACUUGUUCUUUGAACAAGUGGUAGCGGAGCGUUCCGUAAGCCUGUGA